AUGGCACCUGUGUCACCCGUGUCACCUGUGUGUCACCUGUGUGUCACCUGUGUGUCACCUGUGAGUCACCUGUGUGUCACCUGUGUGUCACCUGUGUCACCUGUGUGUCACCUGUGUGUCACCUGUGUGUCACCUGUGUGUCACCUGUGCCACCUGUGUCACCUGUGUGUCACCUGUGUGUCACCUGUGUGUCACCUGUGUCACCUGUGUCACCCCCCGUGUCCCCAGAGUCCCCCCGGUGCCACCUGUGCCAUCAGGGGGCGCCUGUCCCAGCAGAGCCACCUGGGGGACAGCCCUGUCACCUGUGUCACCAAGCCCUUGGGGACACCCCCAACACUGUCACCGCCCCCUCUUGGGGUGCCAGGCCUGAGGUGACACCGCUGUCACCAACCCUCGCUCAGGGUGGGGACACUGGGAAUGGGGCUCCUGUCCCUGUGUCACCCUGGGAGCAGUGACACCGAGGGGACAGGUGACACAGAGGGGACAGGUGACACAGGGACAGCGUGACACAGGGACAGGUGACACAGUGACAGGUGACACAGGGACAGUGACACAGGGACAGCGUGACACAGGGACAGCAUGACACAGAGAGGGACAGGUGACACAAGGGGACAGGUGGCACAGGGACAGGUGACACACAGGGACAGGUGACACUGAGGGGACAGGUGACACACAGGUGACACAGGGACAGGUGGCACAGGGACAGGUGGCACAGGGACAGGUGGUACAGGGACAGGUGACACAGGGACAGGUGACACAAGGGGGACAGGUGACACAGGGACAGUGACACAGUGACAGUGUGACACAGAAGGGACAGGUGACACUGAGGGGACAGGUGACACACAGGUGGCACAGGGA
rnacentral:lncRNA from 1 species